rnacentral:rRNA from 1 species
GUUGUAUGGUUAAGUGACUAAGCGUACACGGUGGAUGCCUUGGCAGUCAGAGGCGAUGAAAGACGUAGUAACUUGCGAUAAGCCCAGAUUAGGUAGUAACAACCAUUUGAGUCUGGGAUUUCUGAAUGGGGAAACCCACGUGCAUAAGCACGUAUCCUUACCUGAAUACAUAGGGUAAGGAGGCGAACCGGGGGAACUGAAACAUCUAAGUACCCCGAGGAAAAGAAAUCAACCGAGAUUCCGAAAGUAGCGGCGAGCGAAAUUGGACUAGCCCUUAAGCUUUACACGCGUUAGACGAACGGUCUGGAAAGUCCGACGAUACAGGGUGAUAGUCCCGUAGUUGACGACGUGUGUUCAGUGAAAUCGAGUAGGGCGGGACACGUGAUAUCCUGUCUGAAUAUGGGGGGACCAUCCUCCAAGGCUAAAUACUACUGACUGACCGAUAGUGAACCAGUACCGUGAGGGAAAGGCGAAAAGAACCCCUGUGAGGGGAGUGAAAUAGAACCUGAAACCGUGUACGUACAAGCAGUAGGAGCAGGCUUUGUCCUGUGACUGCGUACCUUUUGUAUAAUGGGUCAGCGACUUAUAUUCAGUGGCAAGGUUAACCAUCUAGGGGAGCCGUAGGGAAACCGAGUCUUAACUGGGCGUUCAGUCUCUGGAUAUAGACCCGAAACCAGGUGAUCUAGCCAUGGGCAGGUUGAAGGUUGAGUAACAUCAACUGGAGGACCGAACCGACUAAUGUUGAAAAAUUAGCGGAUGACUUGUGGCUAGGGGUGAAAGGCCAAUCAAACCUGGAGAUAGCUGGUUCUCCCCGAAAGCUAUUUAGGUAGCGCCUCGGACGAAUACUACUGGGGGUAGAGCACUGUUAAGGCUAGGGGGUCAUCCCGACUUACCAACCCUUUGCAAACUCCGAAUACCAGUAAGUACUAUCCGGGAGACACACGGCGGGUGCUAACGUCCGUCGUGGAGAGGGAAACAACCCAGACCGCCAGCUAAGGUCCCAAAUUACUACUAAGUGGGAAACGAUGUGGGAAGGCUCAGACAGCCAGGAUGUUGGCUUAGAAGCAGCCAUCAUUUAAAGAAAGCGUAAUAGCUCACUGGUCGAGUCGGCCUGCGCGGAAGAUGUAACGGGGCUAAGUAGUAAACCGAAGCUGCGGCAAUAUACUUUUGUAUAUUGGGUAGGGGAGCGUUCUGUAAGCGGUUGAAGGUGUGUGGUAACGCAUGCUGGACGUAUCAGAAGUGCGAAUGCUGACAUGAGUAACGAUAAAGGGGGUGAAAAACCUCCUCGCCGGAAGACCAAGGGUUCCUGUCCAACGUUAAUCGGGGCAGGGUAAGUCGACCCCUAAGGCGAGGCCGAAAGGCGUAGUCGAUGGGAAACGGGUUAAUAUUCCCGUACUUCUUACAAUUGCGAUGGGGGG